rnacentral:rRNA from 1 species
UAUUAUACUUAGAUGUAAACAACCUAAGCCACCAGAGAACUACGAACCUAAAGUUUAAAACUCAAAGGACUUGGCGGUUUUCCAAACCUCCCUGGAGGAGCUUGCCAUUGAAUCGAUAAUCCACGAAAUACCUCACCAGCUUUUGUAAUUUCAGCUUGUAUACCAUCGUCGUAAGUCUACUUCUUGAGAAAGUUGACACCAAGGAAAAAUUCCCCGACGUCAGAUCAAGGUGCAGCAUAUGAACUGGGAAUAGGUGAGCUACAAUGUUUGUAAAAACCAGUGAAAACAGAAAUGAAAAAUUCCCUAGAAAUUGGAUUCAGUAGUAAGCCUCAAAUAGAAAAUGAGGCUGAAAAGAGCUCUGGAAUGCGUACACAUCGCCCGUCACUCUCGCCUAGCUUAACUCAAGUGAGGGGAGAAAAGUCGUAACACAAUAGGCGCACCGGAAGUGUGCCUGGAAAAUGCCCCUAUAGUUG